ensembl:lncRNA
AAAUAACCCAAAUAUCUAUCAGCUGGUGAAUGGAUUAAUAAAUUACUGCAUAUCCAUACAAUGGAAAACAGCUCAGCAAUAAAAUGAAAUAGAUGAGACAGGCAACAGUUGACUCAUUUAAGCUGAGUGAAAGAAGCCAGUCAACAAAGAAUACAUAUUUUAUGAUUGAUUCCAGAAAAUACGUAUGUUAAUCUAUAGUGACAAAAAAGCAAAUCACUGGGUUCUUGGAAACUUUGUAGGGGCUGUGGAGUAGGUAAGCUGGGAGGAAGAGAUUAUAAAGGGGCUAAGGGGACAUCUGGUGGUUAUGGUUGUACUCAUCUUCCUUGUUAAAAUGAUUUCAUGGGUGUAUACAUAUGUGAAAAUUAAUGAAAGUGUAUCCUUUAAAUGUGUGCAGGCUGAACGUAAAACAAUCUUCUAAAGCAUAGGAACAUGCAAACCCAAACCCAAGGUCUGUGGUUGGCUAGUUCAGAAUUCAGGUUAAUCAAGUUGGUGAUUUUUUUUUUAGCCUGGUGAAAGUAAGGAGAGAUUUGUGCUUUUUCCCAUCAAAAUAUGUUAUGACACUUUUGAGGAUCCUUCAUCUGACCAGAAAUCUUAAGAUCUUCCUGUUAACGCAGGUUUCUUCCCUCUACAGUGCCAGUCACCUGCCUCACCUCUCUAGCCUCAUCUUGGAACACACUGUCAAGCAUGUAACCUGGCCUCUGGCAGUUUUGCUGAGUUACAUAUUAUUAGUACUAAAUGACAUAAGUAAGAGGCAGAGUACAUCAUGAGAAACGCUGGGCUGGAGGAAGCACAAGGUGGAAUCAAGAUUGCUGGGAGAAAUAUCAAUAACCUCAGAUAUGCAGAUGACACCACCCUUAUGACAGAAAGUGAAGAACUAAA